AAUAGAUACCCCGGUAGUCCAUGCCGUAAACGAUGAUUACUAAGUGUUGGAGGGUUUCCGCCCUUCAGUGCUGCAGCUAACGCAUUAAGUAAUCCGCCUGGGGAGUACGACCGCAAGGUUGAAACUCAAAAGAAUUGACGGGGGCCCGCACAAGCGGUGGAGCAUGUGGUUUAAUUCGAAGCUACGCGAAGAACCUUACCAGGUCUUGACAUCUUCUGCCAACCUAAGAGAUUAGGCGUUCCCUUCGGGGACAGAAUGACAGGUGGUGCAUGGUUGUCGUCAGCUCGUGUCGUGAGAUGUUGGGUUAAGUCCCGCAACGAGCGCAACCCUUAUUACUAGUUGCCAGCAUUCAGUUGGGCACUCUAGUGAGACUGCCGGUGACAAACCGGAGGAAGGUGGGGACGACGUCAAAUCAUCAUGCCCCUUAUGACCUGGGCUACACACGUGCUACAAUGGAUGGUACAACGAGUCGCGAAACCGCGAGGUUUAGCUAAUCUCUUAAAACCAUUCUCAGUUCGGACUGUAGG
rnacentral:rRNA from 1 species